rnacentral:rRNA from 1 species
AGCGAACGCUGGCGGCAGGCUUAACACAUGCAAGUCGAGCGGGCAUCUUCGGAUGUCAGCGGCAGACGGGUGAGUAACACGUGGGAACGUACCCUUCGGUUCGGAACAACUCUGGGAAACUGGAGCUAAUACCGGAUACGCCCUUAUGGGGAAAGGUUUACUGCCGAAGGAUCGGCCCGCGACUGAUUAGCUAGUUGGUGGGGUAACGGCCUACCAAGGCGACGAUCAGUAGCUGGUCUGAGAGGAUGAUCAGCCACACUGGGACUGAGACACGGCCCAGACUCCUACGGGAGGGAGCAGUGGGGAAUAUUGGACGAUGGGCGCAAGCCUGAUCCAGCCAUGCCGCGUGAGUGAUGAAGGCCUUAGGGUUGUAAAGCUCUUUUGUCCGGGACGAUAAUGACGGUACCGGAAGAAUAAGCCCCGGCUAACUUCGUG